rnacentral:rRNA from 1 species
AUUGCCCCAGUAACGGCGAGUGAAGCGGCAACAGCUCAAAUUUGAAAUCUGGCCCCUAGGGCCCGAGUUGUAAUUUGCAGAGGAUGCUUUUGGCGAGGUGCCUUCCGAGUUCCCUGGAACGGGACGCCAUAGAGGGUGAGAGCCCCGUCUGGUUGGAUGCCGAGCCUCUGUAAAGCUCCUUCGACGAGUCGAGUAGUUUGGGAAUGCUGCUCUAAAUGGGAGGUAUAUGUCUUCUAAAGCUAAAUACCGGCCAGAGACCGAUAGCGCACAAGUAGAGUGAUCGAAAGAUGAAAAGCACUUUGAAAAGAGGGUUAAAUAGUACGUGAAAUUGUUGAAAGGGAAGCGCUUAUGACCAGACUUGGACCCGGUGAAUCAUCCAGCGUUCUCGCUGGUGCACUUUGCCGGGCUCAGGCCAGCAUCAGUUUGCCUCGGGGGAUAAAGGCUUUGGGAAUGUGGCUCCCUCGGGAGUGUUAUAGCCCAUUGCACAAUACCCUGGGGCGGACUGAGGUUCGCGCAUCUGCAAGGAUGCUGGCGUAAUGGUCAUCAGCGACCCGUCUUGAAACACGGACCAAGGAGUCGUCUUCGUAUGCGAGUGUUCGGGUGUAAAACCCCCUACGCGUAAUGAAAGUGAACGCAGGUGAGAGCUUCGGCGCAUCAUCGACCGAUCCUGAUGUUCUCGGAUGGAUUUGAGUAAGAGCAUACGGGGCCGGACCCGAAAGAAGGUGAACUAUGCCUGUAUAGGGUGAAGCCAGAGGAAACUCUGGUGGAGGCUCGCAGCGGUUCUGACGUGCAAAUCGAUCGUCAAAUAUGGGCAUGGGGGCGAAAGACUAAUCGAACCUUCUAGUAGCUGGUUUC